GGGAACUCUGAGACAGGUGCUGCAUGGCUGUCGUCAGCUCGUGUUGUGAAAUGUUGGGUUAAGUCCCGCAACGAGCGCAACCCUUAUCCUUUGUUGCCAGCGGUUAGGCCGGGAACUCAAAGGAGACUGCCAGUGAUAAACUGGAGGAAGGUGGGGAUGACGUCAAGUCAUCAUGGCCCUUACGAGUAGGGCUACACACGUGCUACAAUGGCAUAUACAAAGAGAAGCGACCUCGCGAGAGCAAGCGGACCUCAUAAAGUAUGUCGUAGUCCGGAUUGGAGUCUGCAACUCGACUCCAUGAAGUCGGAAUCGCUAGUAAUCGUGGAUCAGAAUGCCACGGUGAAUACGUUCCCGGGCCUUGUACACACCGCCCGUCACACCAUGGGAGUGGGUUGCAAAAGAAGUAGGUAGCUAACNUUCGGGAGGCGCUACCA
rnacentral:rRNA from 1 species